CAAAUAUCUCCUCCAGGUCAGCAAAAGUUAAAAACAAACUGAACCAGCCCAACAAAAUAGAUCGAUCAAGAAGGGCUCUUCUCCUCACGCUCGAUGACCGCCGCCGCCAUGGCUGCCCCAAGCCUUCUGUCUCAAUCAGCCAAUCAAAAUUGAUCAAUCAAGGCAAAUCAUGGUGUUCUGCGAGCAGCGGACGUUCAGAACCAUGGCACCACGUUUUGUACGCUGGCUACGAGACGUAUUGUUUGCCGAUGGCACCCGCAAGAAGGAUAAAAGCAUGGAUGCAUCUAGCUGCUUGCAUUGCUUAUUUAACUUAAUAUUGGGAGAUCCGUGGGAGAUAAGUUGCUGGGCUCUACUUGCCUUCACCUCCAGAAAUAUCAAG